AGUUCGUAGGUGACCUGCGGAGGAUCAUUAUUGAAUGUUUGAAGCAGUUGAGCUGGUCUUAACGGACAUGUGCUUGCUGCUUCUAUUCAUCUCAUCCACCUGUGCACUUAUUGUAGAGCUUUGAGGAACGUCCCUAGGACUAGUAUUCAGGUUCUAUGUAUUUUAUACAAACUCUAUGAAUGUCUUGAAUGUCUUUUAUUGGGACUUAACUGGCCCUUUAAACUUUAUACAACUUUCAGCAACGGAUCUCUUGGCUCUCGCAUCGAUGAAGAACGCAGCGAAAUGCGAUAAGUAAUGUGAAUUGCAGAAUUCAGUGAAUCAUCGAAUCUUUGAACGCACCUUGCGCCUCUUGGUAUUCCGAGAGGCAUGCCUGUUUGAGUGUCAUUAAAUUCUCAACUUCAAAAGCUUUUGUCUUUUUGAAGCUUGGAUGGUGAAGGCUUGCUGGCGUUUUAAAUGUCUCAGCUCCUUUGAAAAGUAUUAGUGGACCCGUUUGUGUUCAUUCCUUAGUGUGAUAAUUAUCUACGCUGUGGUCUUUGAAUGCAUGCUCAUUAGAAUCUUUCNNGAGCUGUUGUUU
rnacentral:rRNA from 1 species